rfam:Schistosoma curassoni strain Dakar, Senegal genome assembly, scaffold: SCTD_scaffold0011660
AUCCAGCUGAUGAGUCCCAAAUAGGAGGGGAAACGCGCGUCCUGGAU